rnacentral:rRNA from 1 species
UACAGAGGGUGCGAGCGUUAAUCGGAAUUACUGGGCGUAAAGCGCGCGUAGGCGGCUUUGCAAGUCGGGUGUGAAAUCCCCAGGCUCAACCUGGGAACUGCAUUCGAGACUGCAUUGCUAGAGUAUGGGAGAGGGAAGUGGAAUUUCAGGUGUAGCGGUGAAAUGCGUAGAUAUCUGAAGGAACAUCAGUGGCGAAGGCGGCCUGCUGGGCAGUUGCUGACACUGAGGCGCGACAGCGUGGGGAGCAAACAGG